UCAUAUAUUAUAUGAUGAAAGUGAUAAUAUAAAACAUUAGUUUCAAUGCUUUUACGAUUAAAUAUUAAAAUAAUAAAUAUAGUAAUAGUAAUGAUUAGGAUUUAGGAGUGAGAUUUAAAUAAAUAAAAGAAUUGACUAAAUUAUUAUUGUUAGAGAAAUAUAUGGUAACAUAUUGUUAGUAUAAAUUAAAGUAAGACCAAAAAAUAAUGAGUUAAAUGAAAGGGUUCAAACAACUUUUAUAGGUAGAUCUUUUUAGACUUCUUUUUUUUUUAAUAGUAUUGAUUAAUAAUAUUGAGCGACUACGAACAGAAAAAAAGCUUUGAACGGUAAAAUUUAAAUAAACAAAGGUUAAAGGUCCUAGUAAAGUAUACACAAUGUAUAUAUGUAUAUCAAUCAACCCAACUUAUAAUAUAUACAUUUUUUGGUUUACAUUUUUACUGCAUAUAAUUGUGAUAACCAUACAAUGUGAUUAGAAAAGAUUACGAAAAAGUCAUAUACAAUCUUACAAUGAUAAUAUAUAUUUUUUUAGAGAUUGAAUGGUACUAAAAUGUACCAUCGCAAACUCGAUACUUGUUUGGGGGUAUUACUAAAAAUGAAAUAUAGCCACCCACCCAAAAACACCAAUGGUACUAAAAUGUAUAGAUUUUCAGUCUAAGAGCUAAUGUGACAGAGAGACAAAUUCAUUGUUUUUUGUUUUAUAAUGCCAAAGACAUUGGUGUUUUUGGGUUGGUGGCUAUAUUUCUUUUUUUAUGGAUCAUAUUCCGGAUCUAUAUGCUCAAAUAAUCCUCACUUAUGAAACUAGCUGGCAAGCAUUUUCAAAAACACGCCAACUAAGAGGCAGCUGAUUUCUUCUGAAACAAGAAGAGUUGGAUCAAAAUGCAAUCUAAGGAACCGGAUGCUGGUUCAGAUUGGAUUCAAGUCAGAGAAACGCUAGCAGAGAUUGGAAUUUGUUGCAGAAUCUGGUAUUGUUGUUACCCAGAACACUGAGAAAGAGAUUACAUAGACAAAAGGGAAAUGUAACAACUGUCGGUGCAUGUAAUCUAAGUGCUUGAAGCUUUACUACAGUUCUCCUUGUUGGUGUCAUGACUGUCACGACCAGCCAUCUCACGAAGACUUACUUGUGGACCCUCGUCGAAACAACUAGAAGACUUCAGGAAGAGACAAAAGAGGCUACAGAUUUACAAAUAACCCAACACCUUCGCUAGAUUACUUUUAACUUAAAUGAAUACUCCAAUUAUAUUUCUAACCCAUCACUAAAUGUUAAAAUAAAGACCACAGUUGGAUGCUCCUCUAGCUGUAGAUGCUUGGCGUGUAGGAACACAUUCGGUGUGACCAAAUGGUAAGUUUCAAAAAUCAAAGCCCUUCCAAUCUUCACAUAGAAAUGAUCUAAGAUUGUCAUGUUUUUUUCAGACCAAUUUCCCCUCAAUAUGAGGAUCACAUUGGUUCAUCAAUAUAAAGGAAUGUUUGUCGGAAAAAAAAAAGAUAAAGCUUGGUUUAGUGAAAUUGAUAGAAAUUUGGUUUGGUAAUUUUUUUGGUUAUAUAUUUGAUUGUUUAUGCUGGUUAUGAAUUUUAUUGGUUUGGUUCUAAAUAACUCAUUAUCUAUUCAAUCCAAACCAGAUACAUUAACCCGUUUUAUCUAUUAAUCGAUUUAUACCCAAUUUUCUAUCUAUUAAAAUCCAUGGUUUGGAUUGGGUUAGUUUGAUCUAUUAAAUUUAUACAUUUUGACACCCCUAUGUAAAUGCUAACAUUUGCUAAAUUGUCAUUUAUAAGCUUUUCAACAUGUCAUGCAUGUGUAACAUGCUAAAAAGACCAUAACCUUACAAAUUAACUUAAUUGCUUAAGAAACUACUAUGCAUCUACAUAAUAUGUUUUUCAAUACCAAAAGAUCAUACUCCAUCCACUCCGAAAUAUAAAUUUUCUAAAAUUUUCUUUUUUCUUACAAUGAUAAUUUUUUUACUUAUAGAAAAUACUUACAUAUUCUACUCUAUACUAACCCUUAUUCUAGGAAAUGACUGGACUGGCAGCAACCGAAUUGUCGAUACCCGUUUCACCACUAGAGAGAAGUAUCAACUAGAAAAUAAUCACGGGUAAGAGAAUUCUCUACCUAUUCAAUUUGGAGAUCGACAGUUUCCAUAGUCCCAACACCAUUCUACUACUCGGAUAUGCUCGUAAAACCUUUUAUAUGUUAUCACAUGUGUUUCAAUCACUUGAAUCCUCUAUGUUUGUUCACUAGAAAAACGAGAGAAGAAAGUUCUAGAACUCAACAACAAUCAAUUCAUUCAAUUUUUGUUGUAGAUUCACUCAGUUCAUACAAGCAUUAAGAUCAGGUUUGAUAAGUUCAAUAAAUCUUUAAACAAUAUAGUUAUUCAGUUCAUCAAGAUUAAUUCAGACAAUCAAUAAUGCUAUCGCAUCUAUCAAUUAUCCUAUGAUCUAGAUUUUAGGUUGUCAAUCCAGAUAUAGCACUAAGAACAAUCAAGAUGAAGAAUAUUGAGUUAAUUCUAGCAAUUUAUAAAUCCUUUGAAAACCCUAAAUCUAACUGGUGGUAUACAAAGACAUGAUCAAUGAAACAUAAAUCAUAAUAUGAAUAAAUUGGAUUAAGAUAAUUGUAAGAGAUACAGGAGUUCGAAAUAAUUAUUUGAAUGGGGUUUGACUUGUCCUUACAAAAUAUCUCUAAGAUAAUUAAAGUGUAUCCUAAAAAAUGGCUUAAGAUAAGUUAAUAUAGGUAAAACAUGUUCAUGGAUUCUUGUGUAAUACUGAAAACUUCUAGGCCUUUUUGUAAUUCUUGAAAACUUGAUAAAUCAAGUCGUUUUGCUACAUGCAUGGGUGUUGAUCGACACCAAGGCUGGUGUCAAUCUACAUCAUCUUCAUAGUUCAACACCAAGUUGAUCUUUUCGGCUUCACUUUUCUUCAAGCUCCAAUUUGCUCCAUAAUCUCCAAAUUCAUCCAAAGGGUACCUAAACAUGUAAAGACUUUAAAAACUAUUCGAAACAUAAUAUAAAAGGUUCUAAAAUAUGACUUAUAUCAUUGUGGAAACCUAUAAGACGAUGACAUGUCACUUAUUCAAAACCAAAUCAUUAUUCAGCAUAAUGGCAACA